UUAAUAGAGUCUGGCGCAAUUUUAAGAACUAUCAAUACUUCUUGUUGUUGCGAAAUUCAUGACAACAACAACAAGUAUUGAUAGUUCUUGAAAAUGCCGCAAAUUGGUAAUACAUCUUAUUUAGGCGCCAUCGCUAUCUUGCGCCGGCCAAAAGUAAAGGUUGCGAUUGACUCUUUCAAACGACAAAAUAUUUCAAGAAUGAAAUUCAUUUUCCGCCUUCACGCAAGAUUUACUGUCGUUCGCUGUCGUCUUUGCUAGCGUCAAAUUUCCGAUGAAUUUGUUGUCAAAAUCGUGCGUCGUAGAAGCGUUGAAGAUCCGUGUGUGUAUCUAGGGAAAUGUCCAUAGUGCUGCAUUAGCUGCGUACGAGAGAGCAACCAGAUUGUGCUCGUUAGUCAAAGUUUUGUUUUGAACUAUGAAUUUGUGUGUCAAGUCAAGAAGUUGCAAAGCAGAAUUUUAUCGGGAAAUUUAAACAUUUAAAUAUUAAUUUCGUGGCGAGUUUCUUCAAAUCGAAAAUGUUUUAUGAAAAGACUAAAGAUUUGUGUGUGAAAGAAUUGAUAAAAUGUCGAUCUCAUUGAAUGGCGCGAUGGAUUUAUGGCUCAACUUUUGUGUCAAGUCAAAAACGGCCAAAAAUUAAAAAAUCACAAACCAAUUUUAGAGUACGAAAAAACGUAAACAAAAAUUAAACGCAGUUCAACGAAGAAAAUAUACCAAAUGGAAAAUGAUCGACGAUAUUCUCGAUGCGAUUUUAUCGUCAUCGGAACUAUUUUAAGUGUUGUGGGUAUAUUGACGAGCAUUGUGUGCGCUUUAUGCUCAUUUAUGUUUGUAUUAAACCUUUCGUACGCGGGCGCCGCCGAAAUUGCUCUCGGUCUCAUUGUUAUUUCUGUUGGAAUGAGUGUGUCAGCUGUAUUUUUUGCUGUUGUACGCAGAGAUCGCAAGCAUGCAGUAAACAAUGCGUAACGCAUUGCAGACACGGGCCAAACGCUACUCAUUUGAUCCGAUUUAAUUUGUAAAACUCAAUUCUUUGUUCAUUUUUGUGCAAUAUUAUUCAGUGAAUCAAUGUAAACCACUUUAAACGACAAUCUGAUUAUUUGUUUUGUCCUUUUUUUAACACCUUUAACUUCACCAAAGUUUCUUUAAACUUGGCUUCAACGUUGUAACGAGCAAUAAGCCCCUUGAAUUUGCCAUGCUCAAAUCAAUAUCUUUUUUCUAUGCAUUUUCAGUUUUGAAUCUAAUUGCAAAUGUGAUCUGGUGGCUGGGCAUUAAUAACAGAAUAAUUGCGUUGCUUGUCGUUUCCAUGGCGUGUUGGUUUGUACCACUAUGUGUCUCUUUAUUGUUCUUCGCUUUCUGGGUGCACAACAAACUAGUAAAACCGUAUAAUGCAUUUCAUAGGAAAGAUGGAUCAUACGAAUUCUUCAACAAUCUGUUUAAGUUAAUUGCGAUUGGCGGAACAGCUUAUUGGUUGUGUUUCUACUCCGUGGCUGUAUGGUGUUUCAUCAAACUCAUUCGAAAAAGCAGAUGGGAUAAUCAACGACUCGGCAUAUCACACGCAGUAGCGUCCGCUAAAAAUGAUCCAUUCAAUAAAUACUGAUAAGAUAUUCUUUUAAAUUUGCUCACAACAGUUCGUUUACGAUGAUUUUAUCUUCAAAUGAUCAACGUUCCAUUCGAAAAAUGACAUUAACACUCUGUCUCCACUUCAAUGUUUACGAACAAUGCUACUUUAUUUAAUUGACGUUAUAGUUCCAAAGAUUUUGCUGCAAAAAAAGUCAUGUGCCGCAGAUCAGCGUAUCAAUAUCACCGUCGUAUCUAGGUAUAUAUGUUCACAGUAAUGCGUUGACUACGCACAUGAGCAUAACCAAGUUUCGAUCAUUCGUCGUCGUUUUUUCUGACCUUUCAAAGUAAAGUGUCAAGCGAAUUUAUAUGACUGAAAUUUGGCAAUUUGUAUUAGGUUUGAAAUUCCAGUGAUGAUUUAAGCCAGAAAAAAUACUGAAAUACAAAUAAAUACCAAUACCAAUGUGUUUCGAAGAGCAAUGAUGAGUAACGCAUGACCUGCCAACUCAUAA